AUUGAACGCUGGCGGCAGGCCUAACACAUGCAAGUCGAACGGUAACAGGAAACAGCUUGCUGUUUCGCUGACGAGUGGCGGACGGGUGAGUAAUGUCUGGGAAACUGCCUGAUGGAGGGGGAUAACUACUGGAAACGGUAGCUAAUACCGCAUAACGUCGCAAGACCAAAGAGGGGGACCUUCGGGCCUCUUGCCAUCGGAUGUGCCCAGAUGGGAUUAGCUAGUAGGUGGGGUAACGGCUCACCUAGGCGACGAUCCCUAGCUGGUCUGAGAGGAUGACCGGCCACACUGGAACUGGGACACGGUCCAGACUCCUACGGGGGGCAGCAGUGGGGAAUAUUGCACAAUGGGCGCAAGCCUGAUGCAGCCAUGCCGCGUGUAUGAAGAAGGCCUUCGGGUUGUAAAGUACUUUCAGCGGGGAUGAAGGGAGUAAAGUUAAUACCUUGGCUCAUUGACGUUACCCGCAGAAGAAGCACCGGCUAACUCCGUG
rnacentral:rRNA from 1 species